rnacentral:lncRNA from 1 species
AUGGGAGUUUUUUUAAAAGUGAAAUACUCAAGGUGCAAAUGCAAACAGUGCCAACAAAGAAAAAAAAAUAUGACAAGUGCAAAGAAGCCAGAAUGGAUGUCCAAAGAACUUCUAACUGAGCUAAGACUCAAAAGAGACAUGCACAAGAAGUGGAAAGGGGGAGAAAUCACCAAAGAAGAAUUCAAAUGUAUAGACAACUUCUGUAGAGAAAAUGUUCGCAAGGCUAAAGUGCAAAAUGAGCUCAGGCUUGCCAGGGACAUUAAAAACAACAAAAAAGGCUUUUUUGCAUACGUUGGUAGAAAAAGGAAGAACAAGGAGGCGAUAGGGCCUCUGCGAGGAGAAGAUGGGGUGAUGGCGACAGGGAACAGGGAAAAGGCAGAACUGCUUAAUGCCUUCUUUGCCUCGGUCUUCUCACAAAAAGAAAGCCAUCUUCAACCUCAGCAACAUGAAAUGGACAAAGGAUUCGGGGAAAUCCAACCCCAAAUAGGGAGGCAAGUUGUCCAGGAACACCUGGCCGCUCUAAACGAAUUCAAGUCCCCAGGGCCAGAUCAGCUACAUCCAAGAGUAUUGAAGGAACUAGCUGAGGUUAUUUCUGAACCACUGACAAUUAUCUUCGAGAGUUCUUGGAGAACAGGAGAAGUCCCAGAAGAUUGGAGGAGGGCGAAUGUGGUCCCUAUUUUCAAGAAGGGAAAAAAGAACGACCCAAACAAUUACCGUCCGGUCAGCCUCACAUCAAUACCAGGCAAGAUUCUGGAAAAGAUCAUUAAGAAAGUGGUCUGCAAACACUUAGAAACAAAUGUGGUCAUCGCUAAUAGUCAACACGGAUUUACCAAAAACAAGUCAUGCCAGACUAAUCUGAUCUCUUUUUUCAAUAGAGUUACGAGUUGGAUCGAUACAGGGAAUGCCAUGGAUGUAGCGUACCUAGAUUUCAGUAAGGCCUUCGACAAAGUCCCUCACGAUCUUCUGGCAAACAAACUAGUAAAAUGUGGGCUAAACAAAACUACGGUUAGGUGGAUCUGUAAUUGGCUAAGCAAACGAACCCAAGGGUGCUCACCAAUGUGUCGUCUUCAUCUUGGAAGAAGUCACGAGUGGAGUGCCGCAGGGCUCCAUCCUGGGCCCCGGUCUGUUUAA